GAGUAUUAAUCAAAUUGUUAUGUUCAAGAUGUGCUUCAUUCCCAACAUGAUACGUUAAAUGUUGAGAGCACAAGCAUAUCGAGCUCUUUAGAGGGAAUCAAAGUGUUUUUCAUGUAGUGUUCCUUAAAGAAAAAGUAUGUUUCAUAUAGUGGAAGUAGCUACACUUAUAUAUCCAUGGGAUAAAAAGGUAAUAACAUGAAUAAAAAUGUAAUAGAUCCCUUCUACUAGGCACAUUUUCUUGCUUUCUAAUGACUUAUAGUCUAUAUGAUUCUCAAUAAGUAUUAU
rnacentral:lncRNA from 1 species